GCAGAUACAGAUGAUGACAUUUUUUGUGUUGACUCACAGUGAUUGUUCAAAGUAAACGCACUGAUGUAUUUGCU